rnacentral:tRNA from 1 species
GACAAAGAAGUAAAAUUUUACAAUUAAUUUCGACCUAAUAGUAGGGUAACUAGAAACCCCUUGUCU